rnacentral:tRNA from 1 species
GUGUGGCUCAGUGGUAGAGUGCUUGCCUAGCAUGCAUGAAGUCCUGGGUUCGAUUCCUCAGUAC